rfam:Candidatus Magasanikbacteria bacterium RIFOXYD12_FTLL_33_17 rifoxyd3_full_scaffold_1062, whole genome shotgun sequence.
GCGAAUAUCGUAUAAUGGUAUUACGUUGAUUAUAAAGUAAUACUUUGUAAUUAAAAAUGGGAGUUCGAAUCUUCUUAUUCGCA